UCUCCUUUGUCUUGUGAAGAAUUUUUGUUGAAGAGAGAAUCUUAUCUGUGCUGGUUUUGAGUCAUGACAGAUGCUUUUCUCAUUUAAGGCUAUAAGUGGAUGGUCGUGAGGGGCAAAUUGAAAAGAUUCUCACAGCUUGUCUUCAAUAAUUUCAUUGUAUAUCUUGAUUAUUGUUGUCAUUUGUCAUGCGUGACCUUGUCCACCUUUAUACUCUCUCGAGGUUAGAAGAUGUCAGCGCCGAAAUCGGGUGGUGAUCCAGCGCCACAUCCGUCGAAAGAACAGCUUCCGGAUAUCUCUUACUGCAUCACAAGUCCUCCUCCAUGGCGUUAGUUUUCUCUUCUUUGCCUCUAUACCUAAAACGUUUGACUUCUAGUUAUUGUUCUUAGCAUAUAUCUACCUUUGGAGCCUUGUUGUGACUUCUAUGUUUCAUAUUUCUGAAUUAUGUAAAAUAUUUUUGUUUUCUUUUCAUGUAAUAUAAAUAAUUAAAAUAAUUUUUUCUUGUUUUGAUUA